GGUAUCGCGACGGGGCCCCCGACGAGGAGCUCCUCCGAGAGGCGUACAGUAGCCUCCACUUCAAGCAGUUCAACCACUAGGCGACCACCAGACGUUCCGGCUUGCAUCUUGCAAGCGGGCCGACACUCAAUAACAAAAUUGAACGGUUCAGUCCUAAUUAUAAAAUAAUAUUUCCAUGUACUUUCCAAUAAAAGUGUUUAUGUUUUCGGAAUAUGCCCAUCUGGAACGUGUUGCAUGUCCCGAUUAUAGUAAAAAAAUAAUGUACUUUCCAAAAAGAGAGUUAUGAUUUCGUAAUAUGC
rnacentral:lncRNA from 1 species